rnacentral:lncRNA from 1 species
AUUACUUGGUUCUUUUUAGGUUUGUGGUAGAUAUGGAAAUGGGAGAAUGAAGAUGUAUUUCGUGGCAUUCACCGUUUAUUAAGCUAACAAAUCGGUUAUGUUAAGUUACAGUUAGCACAUAAUCUUCAAGUUUAAUGUUCCCAGAGCAACAAAGGUCCAUACCGUACUGAAACAUUGCUUGGCAACAUCUCCUGCUUAAUUGGGCUAAACUAAACACAGAUGGGGCGGUUAAAGGGAACCCAGAAAGGGGAGAUGCAGAGG